rnacentral:lncRNA from 10 species
CUGCAGAAGAAAAGGGCUUUAGUUCUUCCUGCACCUGUGGAGUCUACAUGCCGGAUAUGUGCCCUCCCCUAAGUUCUGGCCAAGAGGCUUCUCAACCAGUUCAAAUUGUUACAAAGUUCAGCUGAAGACUUCCUUCUCCCUGUGGCAUUUUCCCCGAAGGAUCCCUGUGGUGCCAGGCAGAAAUGGCCUGCUUGGGGACCCAGAGAGCUCCAAGGGCCUCUCCCACUGCUUCCUCUACCCCUGUAUUUCGCUUGGCUCUCCAAACUGACUCAGCUCCAGCUGAAAGGAUGUGACCCUCAAGCUGCCAAGAU